UUUCCGUGAAGUCGGAGAGAGCGACUCCGUAUACACCUGGAGACCUCUAACAUAGGUGUUAGAGUAAACUGGCAAUUUAAUCACUUGCCAGUUCACCCCCCGUCUUCAACCUUAUCUCAGACGUAAUCGACAACUGCCGGCCCGACCUUUUGCCCAACCACUUUUGCGAACAGACCUACUUUGCAGACCGACCUCAUGGACUCUAAGCUGUAACUAACCAAGUAUCUCUGACCUCCGUUUUUCACCACCUUGACGGCGUAUGAAACCUGUUAAGCAACAUACAGAAACAGGAAGAUCUUUCUAUUGCCUGAGUCCACCCAGGGAGUUCAAUCUACAUCAGCAGCUACAGUUUCAGCUUUGGGAAAAGGAGCUGAGUUGGUGACUGUUCAGCUAUGUUCCUAAACUGUUCCGUAGAUCAACACAAUACAUUCUUACUGCUGUGGACAAAUUCUGCACUCUGUUGUGUCAGAAAUACCCGGUCUCUACAGGUUAAUCAUGAUGACUGAAGUAUCAUUUCCUUCAGGUCAAAGAUCCACUAGCUUUAAAAUCUCCAAAUUGGUCUCAAUUUAGGAAAUUUUGGACUGAAUUAUGUUUCAUUUUAAGUGACCAAAUGCCAAGUACCCAGCUGUUUUAGCUGUCAUUUUUUACACAUACAGUGUCUGGGAAAAUUCUUGCCUGCAUCCUCCUGAAUCAUCUUCUACCUCUUGCUGAGGAAGUCGUGCCAGAAUUUCAUUGUGGUUUCAGACUAUCCCAUGGGACAAUUGACAUGAUUUUUGUUGCCUGCCAGCUCCAAGAAAAGUAUCAAGAACAAUACCAGGACUUGUAUAUGACCAUCAUUGACUUCACUAAGGCUUUUGAUUCCAUCAAUCAGGAAGCCUUGUUGAAAAUUCUGACCAGAUUUGGAUGUCUAUAAAAGUACAUUAAAAUCCUGAGGCUUCUCUAUGACCAGAUGACUUUGACCAUCCUAUGCAGCAGAUUGAAGAUAGAUUUGUUUGUCAUCAGACCUGGGGUCAAGCAAGGAUGUAUCAUCAGCCCAACUCAGUUGUCAAUUUUUUGGCAGUCAUCUUGGUUCUAGUUAAGGACUACCUUCCUUCUGGAAUCAACAUAGAACACUGAAUGGAUGGAGGUACAUUUUCAAUUGAAGACCAAAGUACUCAAAACCUUCCUUGACCUUUAAUAUGCAGAUGUUUGCACUAUCUUUGUGAAUACUGAGAAAAACCUCCAGACCAAGCUGGAUUUUGGGGAGAGCCUACUGAAUUUUGAGCCUCUUUCUCAACAUCAAGAAGAUCAAAGUACUCUAUCAUCCUGCCCUUGGCCAUGAAUGUGACCCCCUUCCCCAAAUUACCAUUGAGGGAAAGACCUUGGAAGUAGUUGAGCGCUCUUUCUACCUUGGUAGCCACUUCUCUCAGAGACUGAACAUUGAUGAAGAGAUCCAGCAUAGACUCUGGUGUGCAAGUGCCUCCUUUGAGAAAUUGGUUCAGCAUGUCUUUCUUCAUCACUAUCUCCAGAAAGUCACCAAGAUCCAGGUCUACAAUGCAGUCAUCAGCCUCACUGUCCUCUACAGAUGUGAAACAUGGGUGAAACUUGGGUCUCCCUUACUUACCUUUGGCUUUUUUUACCCAUCAUUUCCCCACUCCCUUCCCUUCUCUACUUUUUGUUUUCCUAAUUUCCACCUAUUUACAUUUCCACUGAUAUCCUGUCACACUUGUAGCUUCUUUCAUUCAUUGGAGUCUCAGAACAGCAGAGAUUCCCUAUGCCUGAAGAAGGGUGAUUGUAUCCAAAAACUUGCUAAGAACUUUUCCCAACUACUUAGUUGGUCUAAUAAAAGAUAUCACAUCUACCCAAAGAACCUUGCCUGCCUAUGUCCCGAGACACGGAGUUUCCAACAUUUAUGUGCCCAAGGGUGUAUUUGAAUUUAAAAGAAAAAGCAGCAGGUGCCAUUUUUAGCAUUUUUUGUUGGAAUAAUGAUUUUUACUGACUGUGAAAAUGCAUGUGGGCACCUGAAUAAACCUCAGGAGGAGCCAUGGUACUCAUGGGCACCACAUUGGGAACCACUGCCUUAGACCAACAUGGCUACAACAAAAAACCCAGUAGAAGGCAUGUGUACACUUAUAUGGGAUCAUGUAAAGUAAGGAUGGAAUGGACCUCAUGAUGUCAUCUAAUUCAUCCUCUGCUCAAGGCAGGAACAUACCUGACAACUAAACCAUCACAGUCUGUCUAACUUGCUUGUGAAAAUGUCCAGGAAUGGAGAUUCCACAGCCCCUGAGUAUCCUGUUUGAUGCUUGACCACCCUCCUAGUGAGAAAAUUCUUCCUAAUCUCCAACCUAAAUUUCUCCUGCUGCAGUUAUGAAAGAAACUGAACUUCAUUUUGUCAAUGUCAGGCUCCUGCUCCUCAGGAAUGGCCAUUUUGUGGGGUAAGGAGUAAUCCCAGUGUCCUGAACAUUCAACAAAAUGUAUUUUGAAGUUGUUGCUGAAGACAUGAUGAGUGCUCCACUUUUCUGAACAAUCAAUUCACUUUUCUGACCAGCAGUUUCUAAAUCAUAAAAUACUUUGAUAUAUAUCUAAAAUUAAAUAAAAGAUAACAUUUUGUAAAAUCAGAAGCUAAUUUAUUUUACUAAAAAAGUAAUAUUUUUAGACUUUAGAGGCCAUGCAUUCUCAAGCAUUCCUGAUUAUCAAGGACUUUUGUGAUGUAUACUGGAAACUGCAAAUAAUCUAUUUCUAUGUUUCUGGAUACCAUCACUGUUGAAUUUGAAUGUUGAAGCAGAAAGCUAUCAAACACACAUCUCAUUUUUCUGCCUCUUUUCCAUCAUCAACAAACCCGCUAAUUCACACAAGUCCUUUGAAUAGGCUUGCCAACCCAAUAAAUUAUUUAUUACUGACAAUCCAACAAAGACACUUUUUUUACUGACGUGUAAAAAAAUAUCCCUUGGGUUUGCAGCUCUGUGUGACUGAAGCAACAGUUUUACACCCUGCUGCCCCAACCACAGGGGUCCCCUACUUACCCCAAAACCUGACACCCUGACUCUACCCUGCACUAUGCUGUCCCCCUUCCUGCCCCUCAGCCUGACCCCGCAACAGCUGUUCUCCUUCUGUCCCAGCAUGAACCUCCACCCAUUGUAUCUUCCCCACCCAGCAUGUAGCACUGUCCAACCCACACCACCCUCUUCCCUGUACCUUUGAUGUGAGUAGCUGUUAGAGGCAGGGGACAAGCAAAAGAACUAGGUAAAGCACAUUGUUAGAGAAGGGGAAAAGAUCAAGCAGGUUAUAAAAUCGUGCUUAGACACUCCUGAAAAAUCCUUCUCAGAAAGCAUGUGGCACUCCUGUGUUCCAUCUGUCUUUCACUGCAGUGGUGGCUCUAUGUUUUUAUGGAAGGGAAAACAUUUUUAUGGAUUUUAACAUACAGGUAUUUUUAGGGUUUUUUUUUAAUGGGGUGUCUAAAUUUACAGAGAGUUUGCAACCCUACCUCUAAACCAUGAAUAUGUAACAAAUUAUUUCAGGGACCCAUUUUUAUAAGUACAUUCUGUAUAAGUAGAUACAGAAAAUUCUGUUUCCAUUAUUUCUGAUUCCAUGUUAUCAAAUGACACAUACUGAUUGGCCAACUCUGUACACUGUGACUUAAAUCAAUAAUUUGAUUUCUUUUCUAAGUUAAGAUGAUGUUUCAUCUUUGUACUUGCUAUGUCAGUGUGGUCAAAGGUUACUUUUUAGCUUCUGCAGUAGAUUCGUUAAUUCUUCAGUAUAACCCUUUCAGUAAAACUCUGUUGGUCCUGGGUAUGACUAUAAACUGUAUCUGACUGAAGGGCCUGGUGGCAAAGUGUUGGGGACACUUGUGGCAGGGUAGCUCCUAUAAAAUACUGAAAUGUUGCAACCUCCAAAAUAAAGUGAGUAUUGGGUGCCUCAAAACCUUAGCUUCCACUGCUCUGUGGGUAGUCCUUGGCUGGAGAAAGACUAAGAAACAUCACCCUGACAGAAGUACACCUUCACUGAGACAUUAUGAAGUCAGCAGCAGUUCUUAUUUGUUGCCCUCAAAAGGAAGCUACAACCAUUGAGGAAGUGAACAUCUGGACUUGGUCUGGCUUUUGGAUAUUGUCUCAAUGAAGUAAAAGAGGAAUGUUAUGUCAUAGUUUCAUAGUUUCAUAGUUGGUAGGGUCGGAAGGGACCUGAGCAGAUCUUCAAGUCCAACCCCCUGCCAUGGCAGGAAAAAUACUGCGGUCAAACUACCCCAGCAAGGUGUUCAUCUAACCUCCUCUUAAAAAACCCCAGGGUAGGAGCCAGCACCACUUUGCUUGGAAGUUGGUUCCAGAUCCUAGCAGCCCUGACUGUGAAGUAGCGCCUCCUGAUGUCUAGUCUGAAUCUACCCUCUGCCAGCUUGUGACCAUUAUUUCUAGUGACUCCUGGUAGUGCUCGGGGGAACAGGGACUCCCCCAAUGCCUGCUGGUCCCCUCUGACUAGUUUUUAACAGGCCACUAGAUCCCCCCUCAGCCUUCUCUUGUGGAGGCUGAACAGGUUCAGGUCCCGUAGCCUCUCCUUGUACGGCCUGCCCUGCUGGCCCCUGAUCAUGCGAGUGGCCCUCCUCUGGAUCUGCUCCAAGUUGUCCACAUCCCUCCUGAAGUGCUGCACCCAGAACUGGGCACAGUACUCCAACUGCAGCCUGACCAGUGCCGCAUAGAGGGGGAGGAUCACCUCCUUGGUCCUGCUCGAGAAGCAUCUGUGGAUGCAUGACAAGGUGUGGUUGGCCUUCCUUACCGCGUCCCCACACUGUCAACCCAUGUUCAUUUUGGCAUCAAUAAUGAUUCCAAGAUCCUUUUCUGCCUCUGCACUGAUGAGAAGGGAGUUCCCCAGCCUGUAGGCCUGCUGCUGGUUCUUCCUCCCCAGGUGCAGCACCUUGCACUUGUCAGUGUUGAAACCCAUCCUGUUCUCAUCCACUCACCCCUGUAACCUGUCUAGGUUUGAUUGCAGCCUAUUCCUCCCUUCUAGCAUGCCCACUUCCCUCCACAUCUUAGUGUAAUCAGCAAAUUUGAACAGGGUGCUUUUUACCCCUUUGUCCAAGUCACUGAUGAAGAUGUUGAACAGUGCAGAUCCGAGGACUGAGCCCUGGGGGACCCCACUGCCCUCGUCCCUCCAGGUUGAAAAUGAUCCAUCCACCACCACUCUCUGGGUGUGACCCUCCAGCCAGUUAGUGACCCAUUUGACUGUGUAGGUGUCGACGCCACAGUCCCCUAGUUUUUUAAUGAGAAUGGGGUGAGAGACAGUGUCGAUGGCCUUCCUAAAGUCCAGACAGACUACGUCCACUGCUACCCCUGUGUCUAAGGCUUUUGUGACCUGGUCAUAGAAGGCCACCAGGUUGGUCUGACAGGACCUGCCUCUAAUGAACCCAUGUUGGUUGACCCUAAGCAUAACCUCCCCUGCUGGCCCUUCAUGGACAUGGUCCAGGAUAAUUCUCUCAAAAAGCUUACCCAGGAUCGAGGUAAGACUAACUGGCCUAUAGUUUCCAUGUCUUCAACUCCUCCAUACUCCUGCUAGGCAUACACAUUGGAAGGUCUUGGUGUCAUAGUCAUGGGAUUCUGAACAAGCAAAUUCAUAGGCACCAGUCUAGACCUCUUAUGUGUCCACCAUGAUCCAGAGGGUAGGCAGUUACCUACAACAAAAUGUAUUUAUACUAAUAAGACUUAACUAUACAGAAUCCAUUAUUAGUUUCAAUUCAAAAUAUUAUAAUUAUCUUAAACGACAUAAAUAAGGUAUUAAAAUAUUCUAUUUUAUAGCUUAAUAAUCUAUAUUUUUUCUCCUUGCCCAGCUACAGAUCUAAUUGCACACAUAUUCUUUGUCACAAAACAUCCUAAAUAUGUUUUAGAAGCACUAUUGUAAAAAAAAUGUUAUGUCGUCAUAUGAAAAACUCAAAGCCCCAGCAAUUUUAAAGCCACUAGGAUCCACUGUGUGUUGAUUGGUAACAUAUUUAAUAUUACAGUCUUUAGGAGGUGUUACUUCUGGUUGUAACAUCAGGGCAUCAGCUGUUCAGAGAAGUUUAACACUGCAAUAUUAUCUUCAAAUGAACCAUGUUUUGAUGUGGUAUUUGUAGGAUUUCUCUCUCUCAGGAUUCUAGUCUCUUUUACUCUGGCUUAAACUGCAGGCCUAUAACACUUACUCAGUCUUCCACUUGUCAUGCUCUUGAUGCUUGAAGGUAUCAACAAUUCUGGAAGUGAUCUGUCUCUAACAUGACAUAACAAUUAAUAUUUUAGAUCUGCUUCAUAGACUCAAACACUGAAUUUGCUUUACACUGACAUCUGCUAAUAUUAAAGCUUAAUAUUUUUACUGAUUGACUACUGUAUGCAAAGGACCAAGCUACAUGUCAUAAUGAAAUAUACAGUCUGAAAGUAUGUCAAUAGAGCUGUCAGAAUUAUUUCCUAAGUGGAAAAUUUCAAUAUUUCUGAAAUCAGAAACUGAUUUUUUUGUGGAAAAAUUUUGCCUGAAAACUUCAGUUAAUAAACGUUACAGCAAUGCCACUUCAAAGCUGUAGUCAAGGUAUUUCAUACUCACAUUCUUCUUUCUAGAACCUGGUUCCAUAUCCAGGCCUAUUAAAGUAUAAUACACCAUGAUGCCUCAUGGUCAUGAGUCACUGCUGUAUAUAGAGUCAUUGAGUAGUAGGGCUGGAAGGGACCUCCAACCCACUGCCUAAGGCAGGAUCAUCCCUAUCCCAAUUAUCCCAUACAAGCCGUAAUCUAAACUCUACUUAAGAUUAUUGUAAACCCUGACACAAGACAGAUCUAAUACCCUAAGUUGUCACAGGUAAAGCAGAGGAACUAUAGCAGUUAAUGUCCUGCUUAUAUCAAAUGUUGUCUAUAUCUGCUCAAGUGGUCCUUGAUAGAGUGCUAUGUACCCCACUACAGAGAAAAGAAUAGCUCCCACAGUCCAUACCAAUCUGACCAUGGGGUAAAAUUAUUUCCUGACCCUAAAUGUGGUGAUUGGACUAAUGCUGCAUGAAGGGACCCUCUAGCAAGAAAUGUCCAACUUUGGUCCCAGCAGAAGCAUGGACACACCCCAGUCAAAGACCCCAGCCUUAGCUGUAGGCAACACCCAAUGUCUCCAAAAAAGCUUAAAGACACCCUGACACACAAAGCAUAAAAGUUGUGGGAGAGGGGCAACUAGCAAAGAUCAGAAACAUAGGAAAUACCCAUGGUAAAAUAAAUGCAUAGCUAUGCCUAGAUUAUCUCUGGACAGUGACUGCCUAACCUCUUCUUGAACACCUCCAGUGAUGGAGAAUCCACAACUUCCCUGAGCAGUCUAUUCCAAUGCCUCACUAUUUGAACAGUGAAGAAGUUUUUCUAAUAUCCAAUCCAAAUUUAUUUGCUGCAAUGUCGAGACAUAGGGCCAUACCCUUUUCUCUGCAGCAAGAGAGAGUAGAGCCCAGAACUGCACACAGUACUCCAGAUGAGUCCUAACCAGUACUGAGUGGAAAGGAAAUAUCACCUUCCAUGUCUUGUACCUAAUGCUUCUAUUGAUACAGCCCAAAACCACAUUUGCCUUUUGUAUGCUGCAUCACACUGUAGACUCAUUUUGAGUCCAUGGUCUACUAAGACUCCCAAGUCCUUUUCUAUAGUACAGCCAUCCAGACAGAUGUCAUCCAUUUUUUAAUUCUGUUUUUGAUUAUUCCUUCUAAGGAACAACACCUUGCAUUUGUCCACAUUAAACUUCAUCCUAUUAGCUCUAGCCCAAUUUUCCAAUCUGUUGAGAUCUUUCUGAAUUGCACUUGCAUCUUCCAACAUGUUCACAAUCCUUCUCAGUAUUUUUUUCAUCUUCAGACUUGUUCAAGAAGCUUACUAUACCAGUAUACAUAUAAUUAAUACACAUGUUGAACAACACUGGGCCCAGGACAGACCUCUGUGGGACCCUAGUUGAAAUCUCCUGCCAUUCUGACAUGGACCCAUUAAUAAUUACCCUUUGUUUGUAUCUAUUGAGCCAGUUAUCUAUCCACUUUACGUAUCAUGGGAGUCUUCUGUACACGUGCCUUUUGAAAUUUGUUGUCAAGCCAAGGCACCUGGUACAUAAAGGAGAAUGGGACAUGAGGUCCUCAAUUAUAACUUCCACAGGUAUUUCCAAUCUGAAAACAAAUAUAUAUAUAUAUAUAUAUAUAUAUAUAUAUAUAUUUUUCAUCUGAAAACCUUUUAGUUUUUAGCAGUUUAAUACUUUGAUAAAAAGUAGAUAUUUCCCAUAGAAAACAGGUAUCUUUAAAAUUAUAUUUAAUUUUGUUGAAAAUCCUUUUUUUCAGGGAAAAAAAAAGUUUAAAUAUAAAAUGUAACCAGUUCUAAUGCUUAACCAUGCAUUUUAGUCCUGAAGGCUAGGGACAGACAUUACACAUAAACUCAUUUACCUGUAACAGAACAGAUGUUCAGUGCACAUACGCCAGUUUCAAAAUGGCUGCAACCAGUUUGAGAUAAACCUGGUUGAAUGUAGUAUCAUACUUAACUGAUUUGGGUCAAACCAGUUUAUGUAAUGUGUGUCCCAAACCCCUUCCUGGUUUAACUUAAACUAGAGUCCCCCAGCAUAUGCUCCCAAAUGCUUUGCAGCCCUGGGAGGGGCUGUCUUCUCCAGAGCAGGGCUGGCCCCACCCCUCAGCCUGGCUUCCCCCUGCCCCACCCUCACCCCAUCACCACUCCCUGCUCAAGCAGGGAUUCUCCUCUCUCCCACAGCACUGACCAUAGCUAGCAUAUGGUGUGACAGCUAAUGCUGAGAGGUGUCUGUGUAAGGCAGAGAGGACAAAGCUAGACAGGACAGUGUACACUUAGGGCUUUUUGCAGGUAAGCAACAGAUCUGCUGGUAAUGUCUCUCCAUUCCUUCCUUGGAAAAAGUUGUUUAAGAGCUUGAACUAAUGAGAGAGACUUCUGUUUUCUUGAUAGGGUGCUAAAUGUUGUAUUAUCAACUUGCUGGUCAGGAGCAGUGAGGUGGGAGGAACCCCUCCCUAAUAAGAGCAUCCUACUGAGGCCUGGCCACACACUGACCCCUCAGCUCAGCACUGUAGAAGGGAAGAGAGGGCUGUUGUAGCACCCCCUGGCUUCUAGCCUGUUCCACUGCAGGCAUGUACCUGCAUUUCUUCAGUUCAGAGGGAACGUCUGCAUGGUUGCAAACAAGUUCAGCCUAGCCAGGUAGUCUAACCUACAAAGAUUGAAUCAAUUCAGGCACAGGCUUUUUGAAUAUCUGUCCCUAGCCGAAGUGUUAAAACCCUUGUAAAUCCACAACCAUUUUUGUUUCUUUUAAUUCUAUUACUAACCUUAUAGACUGAAUAAAUAAUGGAUUAGUUCCUGGUAUCUAUUAUAUUAAAGAGUUUUAAAUUUUAUUUUUUAAGAUAUUGUUUUUCAAUCGAUAUAUUGUUGCACUGAGCUUCAUGCUACCUUCAAGAAGGUUUUCUAUAUCCUUGAUUCUUCUUUGUCCAUCAUUCUGUGAGCUUUUAAAAGGAGAGAAAAUUGCCUAUAUCCUUGUUUGUCCUUUGCUUUCAAGGAGACAAACUGUUUCUCCCAAUUGCAGCAAUACAUCUUUUUUUUUUGGAAGGUGGGGGGGGGCAAAAACAGCCCUCUACUAAAGCUGUUUUUUAAAUUGUUUAGUAGGAGUGUAAUGGCUUGAAAUGCAUUACUAGUUUUGUUAUCUUGCAGAUCCUGUAUUCUCAAGAGAGAAUGAUGUUCAUGUUGUGACACUGCCAGCUGGAAGCAAUGUCAUACACAGGGUUUAAGCAGCUUCCUAAAACCCCAAAUCAUAAGCUUGAGGAGGGAAGAUUUUUAUCUAUGGGAAUUCUCAAAAAACGCAAUUACCAAACAUUCAAACUUUCUUGCUGUUCCCUUAGGCCUGCAUUCUAAUAUGGCCCAGCUGCUGAAGUUGAGAGAAAGAGAAGUGUAGCAAAGAUAUAACUGCCAGGAGUAGAAAAAUAAUAUAACAUCAACUAGGAAGUACUGAAAGGUGAUUAAAGUUAAACUGUGCAAGGAUUACCUUCAGCCAGUUGAUGUCUCACUCGGCAUAAUUCUAUUGUCUCGCAAGACAGACUUAUGCCUAGUUUUAGACAUCUUGUAAGACAAACAGAUGCCUUGUUGCUGAAAUUGUGGGAUGGAGAAAUCGGCUUCCUGGACUACCAUAUGUAUAUAUGUGUGUGUGUGUCUCUGGUUUCUGGCAAAAUUAUAUUAUUUAUGAGAACGUUUUAGGGACCUUUGGAGGUUAUCUUGAGAAGAAAACUGAAUACUAUAGGAAGAACUGUGAAAAAAAUAUCCCUCAGGCCAAAAGGAAUGAAUAAACCUCAUUGCACAUUGUG